GCCAGAAUGGAGUAUCGACCAACAAUAACUCCAGCACCUUCAGCCUACCAACCCCCAGUAAACCGCACCCCAGCAGUACCGCCAGUGAACAAUUACAUACAACCCUCCCGGUUCAAUGCCAGGGAUUAUUCGCAGCCAAUUCGGUGCUUUGGGUGCAAACAGUUGGGGCACAAGCGACCGGAGUGCCCACUGAACAGCGCCAAUCAAGCCCAGUCGUGGAGGAGACCAGCCAGCGGGAAUCAGCGGCCACCCCAGCCUGCUGCUCACUGUAUCGAGCAGGAGGAGUUCUGGGGCAUUCUACACGAGGCCGACCCAGUGCAAGCAGCUCAUCAGGACAAUCGCCAGCAACACUGGCAGACUGUGAAGCUGAACGGCAGAGUGGUAAAUGGGCUGAGAGACACAGGAGCCACUAUGACACUGCUCCAAAAGAACCUAGUCUCGGAGCACCAGCACACUGGGGACACCGUGGCAGUGAGGGUAGCAGGAGGCGCAGUGUUCCGCUUACCUGUUGCCCGGGCACAUUUGGAUUGGGGAGUGGGUGCUAGACACGUGGAUGUGGGGGUUAUGAAAGACUUGCCCGCUGAUGUUCUUCUUGGGAAUGAUUUGGCCCCUUCGGUUUCCGCCUAUGCCCCGAUGGGUCCUGCUGACGUUAACCCAGUGACUACUCGUGCUCAGACCGUGCUACUGGAACCGGCUUGCCUGCUGAUAAGACCCUCUUCCCCGACUGGUACCUUAGAUCAGGCCCCCUUAAGCUGGGAUUCCCCAGAGGAGUUUGGGAGGGAAACCUGGGCGGACCCGACUCUCCAGAAAUACCGAGAUAGAGCAGAGACUGGAGAGGAAGGAAUAGAUGGGGAGUGGUAUGAGUGGGUGGGGGACAGGUUAUAUAGGAUCCCUAAGCCUUCCCAGAAGAGUGUUGCCCCUCCACAGAAUCAACAGCUAGUGGUACCUGCAAAGUACCGGCAGGAGAUUCUGCGGAUAGGGCAUGAUGUUCCGUUAGCUGGACAUCUAGGGUCCCGCCGCACAGCCUAUAGGAUCUCACAUAAUU